rnacentral:lncRNA from 10 species
UCUGUGCUUCUUAAAAUGGUUUCUUCUCCUUGAAUAUCCUACGAUGAACUUAACCAUGAGCAUUCUCCAAGGCUUGGGCUGUGAUCUUCUCUUUGAGGGACACACAGUUCAACCCAUACACGGUAAGUUGGUCCCUCUGCCUGCAGGAACCUGCUUCCUUUCAUCACUCCUUCAAGCCUAAUGGGUUGACAACCCCUCAGUUACCAGCCCUCUGGCACUGCACGAUGCCUUGUGGGAUUCCUCUUUCCUACUUACGACUUUGCAAAUGGUUCCUUUAUUAAAGUCUCCUCCAACUGUUGUCAAGGUUCUGACCAAUGGUACUGAACAAAACCAUCAGGAAGGCCACUGUUGAUGGGGCAGUGUUGGAAAUAUAAUAAAAAGCAAAAUCUC